ensembl:lncRNA
AUUGGAAAGGGGGGUGGUGUGUGCAUUUCACAAUUACAAUUCAGAACAGCUGAAUGGGAAGCCAUAAGCCACAGUAAGGAGUUGGAGCUCGGUUGUGUUAGUAACACGUCCAUUAAACUGCCGUUAGCUGGGAAAUGCAGGCGGAGAGCAGACACUGCUGUUGUGUGGGCUGAAGUCAGAUUUAUUUCCAAGGAAGAACUUUGCUCUGAGGCCCUCCUCGAAUCUGGAAUCCACGAGUGCUGCAGGCUGUGCUCGUGGGGAGGAGGAAAAGGGAAGACGCAGAACAAGCACGGAUUUUGCAGCUCUCAGUGGGGGAAGAAAGUUAACUAUGCUGGGCCUCGCAAGGGACAGCGCAUCCUUCAGAGGACGGCGUGAGCAGUGUGGAAGCAGGUUGAGCUGAGUGCAGGCAUGCAGGUGACGACGGGCAGCAAAGAGGGAUGUUGGACCUUCUGGGAGAUGGCAGCGAGCGGAGGCUCAGCGCAACCUGUCUGUGGAAAAUCAUAAGAAAAUCAUAACAUCCGAGGCCCGCGAAGUGAGGGAGAUGACGAACUGCACUGGGUCUCUCAGCACUGCCUUGGAGUAACCUGGAGCCAGGGCAAACCGGGGAGGAAGGACACCCUGUCCUUGGGGUGUCCCUUAAAUGCAUGUUGGUGCUUGGGAGAUGUCCGGGUCCUUUUGAAUUGCUUUCACAUUCUUGUGUAAAUUAAGCCACUGAGAAUGCAGAAAUCGGGGGGAAAAAAUGUUGCUGUGCUUUUGGGGGGAGCAAAUUUUUUUAGGAGAAUUCAGCUUCUACUUCUGAAAUACACAUCCAGGCUUUCAAAAGAAGUUAGUAGCUUGGAUGCUCAUGAAUAUCUAGUUCUAGCUUCUCCUUGGAUGAGGUAGGAUGUCAGUUUUGUGUGUAUUUUAAACUCCUUAUGGGUAGCUGAAGUGCGUUUAAAAGCUUCAGUUAUUUUUGAAUUCUUUUGAUACUGUGAUGUUCUUAAAAAUUUCAGCAUGUCUCUCCUUGGGUUUGCUGGUCUGUUCCUUUGAAUCACAUCCAAAAUGCUUCUGCAUUCGUGGGAUUUGAUUUGACCUGAAAAGGUUAUUUUUGUGAGGUGGUACUUCGUUCAGCCUGCUGUUGUUGUUUACUUUCAUGUUUUUACACAAAAACAAAAACUUUGUUAACUCAGUUUUACUACUGCCCUUGGUAGGAUGUGGAAAUACAACAUGUAGUACUAAAAUGCUUGAAAUAAUUGUCACAUUUUUCACUUCUCUAACCUCCCCUAGCCAUUAAAGCACUUCUGUAGUAGAAUCAGCAUCUUCAUCUUCAUAAAAUGACAUAUGAAGAAAAAGUAUUUAGAACUGGGUGAAAUUAUGAGCUCAAACAUUGUUAUACUGUCUUGUGGUUCCUUCCCCUCUCCAGAUGGUCUUUUGCUUCUCCUGCCAAGUUCACCCAGCCAUCAGGAGACACCAGAUUAGAUAUCUUUUGCCAAAAAAAAAUUAUAUAUUUUGAUUAUAGGCUUAUUAAAAACAAAACAAAAAUCAAGAACAACAACAACAAAAAGAGCAACAACAACAAAAAGGAGCUUGGCACACUACGGUAUGGUGAUUAUGUAUCUAUUAAUGAGGAGGAAAUUGAAAAACAAGAGUGCUCCUGAGAUCCUGUAAAAUGCUCCGUGAUGAAAAAUAAGCCAAAGCCAGCCCAGUCAUGGUAAUAAAAACAAUAAAAGAUACGUGGAAAAGAGGACU